rnacentral:tRNA from 1 species
GAUGUAGCUCAGUGGUAGAGCACUUGCCUAGCAUGUGCAAGGUCCUGGGUUCUACUCCCAGGACAGCA